CCUACGGGUGGCUGCAGUAGGGAAUAUUGCUCAAUGGGGGAAACCCUGAAGCAGCAACGCCGCGUGGAGGAUGAAGGUUUUCGGAUUGUAAACUCCUUUUGUUAGAGAAGAUAAUGACGGUAUCUAACGAAUAAGCACCGGCUAACACCGUGCCAGCAGCCGCGGUAAUAGGGAGGGUGCAAGCGUUACCCGGAAUCACUGGGCGUAAAGAGCGCGUAGGCGGGGUAGCAAGUCAGAGGUGAAAUCAUAUGGCUUAACCAUAGAACUGAAUUGGAAACUGUUUUUCUAGAGUAGGGGUGGGGUAGGGGAAAUGUGUGGUGAAGGGGUAAAAU
rnacentral:rRNA from 1 species